rnacentral:rRNA from 1 species
UACGUAGGGCGCAAGCGUUAUCCGGAAUUAUUGGGCGUAAAGAGCUCGUAGGCGGUUUGUCGCGUCUGCUGUGAAAAUCCGAGGCUCAACCUCGGACCUGCAGUGGGUACGGGCAGACUAGAGUGUGGUAGGGGAGACUGGAAUUCCUGGUGUAGCGGUGGAAUGCGCAGAUAUCAGGAGGAACACCAAUGGCGAAGGCAGGUCUCUGGGCCACAACUGACGCUGAGGAGCGAAAGCGUGGGGAGCGAACAGG